rnacentral:misc_RNA from 1 species
UCAAACUUGGUCAUUUAGAGGAAGUAAAAGUCGUAACAAGGUUUCCGUAGGUGAACCUGCGGAAGGAUCAUUAUUGAUUACCUAAAAUUCUUACACUUGUGAACUUAUAAUUGCAUGCUUUGGUCGCGCAAAUUCUUGUUUGUGUGGCCAGACUCUUUAUUAAAACCUAUUUAUUAUUAAUUUUGUAUGAAAAUUCUUUAAUGAAAAUUAAAACUUUCAACAACGGAUCUCUUGGUUCUCGCAUCGAUGAAGAACGCAGC